rnacentral:tRNA from 1 species
GUUAAAGUAACAAAAAGGUUAAUGUGUGAGAUUUAGGUUCCCAUAUUGGGAGUUCGAGUCUUCCCUUUAAUU